rnacentral:rRNA from 1 species
AGAGUUUGAUCCUGGCUCAGAUUGAACGCUGGCGGCAUGCCUAACACAUGCAAGUCGAACGGCAGCACAGAGGAGCUUGCUCCUUGGGUGGCGAGUGGCGGACGGGUGAGUAAUGCAUCGGGAUCUACCCUGACGUGGGGGAUAACCUCGGGAAACCGGGACUAAUACCGCAUACGUCCUACGGGAGAAAGCGGGGGACCUUCGGGCCUCGCGCGGCAGGACGAACCGAUGUGCGAUUAGCUAGUUGGCGGGGUAAUGGCCCACCAAGGCGACGAUCGCUAGCUGGUCUGAGAGGAUGAUCAGCCACACUGGGACUGAGACACGGCCCAGACUCCUACGGGAGGCAGCAGUGGGGAAUAUUGGACAAUGGGCGCAAGCCUGAUCCAGCAAUGCCGCGUGUGUGAAGAAGGCCUUCGGGUUGUAAAGCACUUUUAUCAGGAGCGAAAUACCACGGGUUAAUACCCUAUGGGGCUGACGGUACCUGAG